rnacentral:rRNA from 1 species
GAUGAACGCUGGCGGCGUGCCCAAUACAUGCAAGUCGAGCGAACAGACGAGGAGCUUGCUCCUCUGACGUUAGCGGCGGACGGGUGAGUAACACGUGGAUAACCUACCUAUAAGACUGGGAUAACUUCGGGAAACCGGAGCUAAUACCGGAUAAUAUAUUGAACCGCAUGGUUCAAUAGUGGAAGACGGUUUUGCUGUCACUUAUAGAUGGAUCCGCGCCGCAUUAGCUAGUUGGUAAGGUAACGGCUUACCAAGGCAACGAUGCGUAGCCGACCUGAGAGGGUGAUCGGCCACACUGGAACUGAGACACGGUCCAGACUCCUACGGGAGGCAGCAGUAGGGAAUCUUCCGCAAUGGGCGAAAGCCUGACGGAGCAACGCCGCGUGAGUGAUGAAGGUCUUCGGAUCGUAAAACUCUGUUAUUAGGGAAGAACAAAUGUGUAAGUAACUAUGCACGUCUUGACGGUACCUAAUCAGAAAGCCACGGCUAACUACGUG